UUCCGGCCAUAUCAGCCUGAAGGCGCCUGAUCUCGUCUGAUCGCCGAGGCUAAGCAGGGUCGGGCCUGCUUAAAAAAAAAAAAAAAAAAAAGAUUCUCACUCUUAGCCUCUGCUCCAGCUACAUUAGCUGAUGAGA
rnacentral:rRNA from 1 species